rnacentral:rRNA from 1 species
AUUGAACGCUGGCGGCAGGCCUAACACAUGCAAGUCGAGCGGAUGAAGAGAGCUUGCUCUCUGAUUUAGCGGCGGACGGGUGAGUAAUGCCUAGGAAUCUGCCUGGUAGUGGGGGAUAACGUCCGGAAACGGGCGCUAAUACCGCAUACGUCCUCCGGGAGAAAGCAGGGGACCUUCGGGCCUUGCGCUAUCAGAUGAGCCUAGGUCGGAUUAGCUAGUUGGUGGGGUAAUGGCUCACCAAGGCUACGAUCCGUAACUGGUCUGAGAGGAUGAUCAGUCACACUGGAACUGAGACACGGUCCAGACUCCUACGGGAGGCAGCAGUGGGGAAUAUUGGACAAUGGGCGAAAGCCUGAUCCAGCCAUGCCGCGUGUGUGAAGAAGGUCUUCGGAUUGUAAAGCACUUUAAGUUGGGAGGAAGGGCAGUAAGUUAAUACCUUGCUGUUUUGACGUUACCGACAGAAUAAGCACCGGCUAACUUCGUGCCAGCCGCCGCCGUAAGAC